rnacentral:rRNA from 1 species
UCUGUCUCUUCUUUAUUUAUUUAGGCUUAAGCCGGUUUGAAGAGAGAGAGAGAGAGAGAAGGGGGGCAAGGUAAUGUAUGUAGGAGAGGAGAGGAGAGGAGAGGAGAGUAGUGGUGGGAGGUUGGAGAGGGAGGAGGCGGGGGGCAGAAAGAGGGGACCAGAAACCGUCUAAAAGGAGGUGGGCAAGGGAGGGAGGGAGGAGGAGAGGUGGGCGGGCGUAGGUAGAGAGGCUUAAGACAGGGGGGUGGAUCGACGGUAGAGGUAGAGGGAGGUCGCUAACUAACCCAAAAGGAGGCAAAGAACCCAACUAAGAAGGAGAAAGAGAGAACCGACCUCGCGAUCUCUCCUAGCCCCUCUUCCUUCCACCUACGCUUGUUCAAACUACAGGCGAACCCGGCACCAAGGCCGCUCGGCAACUCUUAGAGCCCUGGCGAAGGACGAUGCCAAACAAGGUAGAGGACAAACAACAAGCAGAGAACAAGGGGAAAAAAUUAGACGGGUAAGUAAAGCGGAUACAAGUUGAAGAACAAAGAAAGUUUUGCAGCAGAGAGAAAAGGACAACUAAGUAAGGGGUGCCGAGUAAGUUGGCACACAAAGGAAGUAGCAAAUGCGGAAUGCGUCGUCGUUCUUAGGCACAAAAGCUCAAGAAGGAUGUUGUCUGAAGAAGAGGUCGGAGGUCUGUAUAGCCCUACUAAAGAGGAGGACAAAAACAAAGACCCACACGCUCUGUCUGUCUCUACAGAACGGACAAGAGGCGGCCGGUUAGUUUAGGGAACGGGGCAACGAGCGAGUAGAAAGCUAAACUGCUGCUCUCUUGGCUAGACAAGGAGCUUAGGUAGGUACCUACCGAUGGAAAGGAAAUGAAAAGCGACCAAAACGGCGUAGGAAACCGGUUUUGGCUUUCGCUUCCCUUUAUUUACGCGCUCUUUUCUCCGGUAAAAAAUUCGGAGCAAGUGUCCGCGUUGGGCACCCGGGGUAGGGCAGCAAACGUACGUCGGGCAGGCAGGCAGGCAGGUAGACAAAAGACAAGUCCGGCGGCGUACGUUCGUUACACCACCUUAGCGGCACAAAAGGAGGGAAAUAAAAAUUUUUAAUUAUUAAUUUGAAUUUUUACGUACGUAGUGGAAACGAAAGAAGGUCGGGCCUUUAUUACGUCACCGACCGUCACCGUGGUGGAAACGAAACGAAUGUCGUCGUCUCGUCCCCGUUUGAACCGUAGCUCAAACCACAUGACAUAGGUGCGUGGUUUACGCCGAGUGCGGUUCUAACGACUCCCCGUCUCAAUUACGGCAGUGCCUAGUUAGCGACCUAUAGAUAGGCCUUACCGGCAUAAAUGAAGGUCUAUAGUUUUCCCGUUUUCCCAUGUGGUCUCUGCCUUUUCCCCGUAGAAAAAAGACUUACACACAUAGACAGCAUCUAAACCGGUGUUUCUCCUGACCUAAGCACCACAACACCCAUUGGUUGGUACAGUGUGAACUUAGUGACCCUUUCUCAGCUCGUCGUAGACUGUACGAUAACGGCGUCUUGUUAGACAUCUUCCUGUGGGGAAAUGGGAAAGCUAUUACGUUCCCGUCUCCUUAAGGCAGCUUGUCGACAGGCUGCAGAAGCCCAAACUGGUACCCAGACCAAGCCCGUUGGGGCAGUACCUGGUCGUCCGCAUGACCUUGUCGUACGAACCUCGCCGCCUCAGCGUCUUGGAGGUUCCGAUGCUCUACUUGGCGCCACUGCCGCGGUAAGGCAUACCUCCGCUCCGCGUAGUUCUACCGGUCAAGAACCCAAAGACCCCCAGUCCACUCCGAUCGAGCUCACCGUUACGCGAGUUGAUACCCUCGAGGUUGCGCUAGUUCCGACUCGUAGACUUGUAACCACCACCAAACUCCUAGCCACUCUCCGCGGACCCACGACUCGUGUCGGAAAGAAACCUAUUACACCUAUAGUUGGAAUUGCGGUCACCGGUACUAGAGAAGCCAGUCUCAAGGUUACGCUUGUUGCGGAGAGUUCCGAGUGUCGUCGUACGACCCACAAGGGCAUGACUACGGUGGCGGGUCCGGUGACUCGAUUCUAACGUAGGAAUGUCUUGAAAACCAAAUCUGCUGCUCGUCGGCCUCGGCAAGGGAAGAAACUUACGAAAGCUUGUAGGAAACCCCUUAAAACGGGACUACGGUCUCCUGCAACUAGUUUCUGGUCCGUCAUCAAGGGACCUGCCGGCUGCAAAUCGCACGUUCUCCUUUUUGUAGCUUCCUCAGGUACCCGUCAAAAGUCGUCCACGAUCGUGUUCGAAAAGGGUGUCUUUACUAUUACGGAAGGUAUCACAAGGAAGGAGUUCAAAGUUAGGCCGAGGACCGGGUUUACACGGCAGAGUAUUGAAGAACAACCGAGGUUCAAGGUAGCUCCUUGUUGAGGGCUUGAUACCUCGACGAUGUCCUUACAGUAGACAAUCGAUGUUAGUAGGAUCGCCUCCGUUAUUGUAAAGUCCUUUAAGUGUCUCUUCAAAAGCCCGUUCUUGAUGGUGGCGAGUCGUCCAAUCGGGGAUACCACAUACCGGGGGAAGUCCAAGAUAGUCCGUAGGGCCAAGUAUAAUAGUGGUCCGCGGACGGAAAGUCUCGCGUAAACUACUUGAUCUUCGCCGAUACGGACACCAGUCACCUUAGUUGAACGUUAUGGUCGUAGGACCUUUACAUCAGGGACCAUAAGGUGUUUGGCGUGUGGCAAAACGACCGGUACCUCGAAGUAGCAGUUCUCGACCGUCAAACCUGUUGUAUUAAGAACCGUCUCUCCUUCAAUCACCCUCCUUAGAACAUCGAGGGCCGAAGGGAUUACGCCGGGGAGUACGACGUGAUCUGUACUCUGUAAACCACGGUCUAAACAGAUUAACCUUAAGACUGUUAGGACCACGAUGGUAGGGACCUUUACACAGAAGACAUAGUUCUCGAUUACGGUCAAGUUGCUAAUCAGCUGGUCGUCCGAGUUGUAGAGAGUGAGUAGUCUUGGAUGUAGCUGCCGUGGGAUCUUUAAAUAGUCUCCUUUAUCCAGCAGAUAGACCUCGUGAAGCACCAGGCGUCGUGGGCGCGUAUUCCAGUCCCAAAGAUAACCUUGCAGUCCCACUACCACAAACCCCACAAGGUAAUGGUUACUCCUUAUGAUCCCUCCCUUCUUCUAAUUACCUCUAUGCCUUACGUGAUCUUUACUAAGUCUCUCCCCUCUUACAGUCUAAACUCAGAUAAAAGAUACCACCGCAGCUCUAAGUACUAUCUGUGUCCCUAUACGCAGAACUGUAUCUGUUAUACAGAAUACUCCUUGAUAAUCGUAACCUCCUUUCUUAUCCUUUACAAUCGUGACCCGAGUGGCUCUUGCUACACUACUUCGAGGACUUCGUUUCCUUUAAGAGCAGUACCUCUAAUAGUAGACACCUUGUACUCGGUACGACAUAAACAGUCCUUCUUAUACACCUGCCACUGCUAGAGCCCUGCGAAGUGACGCCCGUGCUGAAGGUACGGUCGACGUAGUCCGUUACCGAUCACCACUUCUUGGACACAGGCUAGACGUUUUCGUGGCGGGACUUCUGGAUUCCGUCGUCGUUCCGAGUAGCCUACAGGCAAGUCAGCUGGCGUUCUAGUAAAAUAACUAAGUAUUAUGGCGUUGAAAAACCGGUUUCCCAAAACGUAAGUGGAUUUCGAACUAAUUUUUUUUUUUAGGUUUUAAGGAACUUUUUUUCUAAGUUUUGACCAGUACCAAAGCUUUUUGUUUCUUUCCAAGUUUUGACCAUAAUGGACAUUCGGCGACAGCACAGCGCCGUUUAUUAGGACCCUAGACACAGAUCAUGAGUAAACUGAUUUAUAAGUAGCACCUACGUACCGUAUUACCUACGAUCAAAUUUCACUGUACAACGACAGAGCAACGGCCA